GACUCCUUUGUCGUAAAGCCGUUUUGGAUGGAUCUAUUAUUCCGUCAUGUUUAGCUGAAAUAGAGGGGAAUUCAAUAAGCAUAGAGCUGCCUUCAAAUUGGUAUAACGAUAAAUGGAUAGGAUUUGCUCUCUGGGCAUCACUACCUAUAGUUGGGUAUCAUGUGAUGGCCCUUGGUGAUAUGCCUCAGAAUCACUGUGCCUCUGAAAAUAUCCGGAUAUAUGUUGAUGUCAAUAAUGAACUUGACGUCAAUAUUUGCCUAUUGUAUUUGUCUCGUGAUGAUUGGUUUGCUAAAGUUGGGAAUGGUGAAUGCAGUAAGAUUAAGGUUAUAUUUAAGACCGAUAAAUCAACCAUAGGUAUAAAGGGGAAAUGUGGGGUCAGUUUGAUAUACAAGCAAGAUGUGGAUGAGUUCAACGAAACAAAUGCACAAUGUUUGAUCAAGAGCUUUGGGGAAGUAUCCAUCUAUAAAUUAAUUGGUAAAAGUCCAUCCUAUUCUAUAAACAUUCUUCCCAUUAAUGGCCAAUCCUAUUCUAUCUUAUUUUCUUUCUGACUAUACAUCUGGUUUUGUCAUUGGAAAGUAAGUCAAGUCAUUUUUCUUUUUCUUCUAUUGGCUCACCAUGCGCAAGCAUGUAUAUUCUUCCAAAAUAGAUAGUAAUGAGUGAAUUAUUAUAAUAAUUAUCAUCAUACUAACUUAGGUUUUCACAUAUAUGCAGCCAGUGAUGAUGAUGUACAUAUAGUCGAUGAUGAUGAUGAUGAUGUACAUAUAGUCCGUGAUGAUGUGCUUAUAGUUGGUGAUGAUGAUUUUGAUGAUGAUGAUAUAUAGAGUUGGUGAUGAUAAUGAUUGACAAAGAUGACACCUAAGUGCUGUUUGUACUUUGACUAUCUUUUUUUCAUUGGAUGAAUUUCAAUCAAGGCUUAGGCAAUUAGAUGUGUACAUGCAUUUCAAUCAGCCUAACCAUGUUUUAAUCAAUUUGUAUUUGGUUCAUUUACAAUGAUUUGGAAACUUGUUCAAGUGGCAUAUCUGUGCAUCUUGUUUCAAAAUGAAAAUGGAGUGGAAGAUCUACUUUUACAGGGGAUCUAGGUAUAGACAGAUACUGAGGUAUAAGGUUUUACUAACAAUAUUUCUUGUUGGAUGAAUUUCAAGUGAGUUUGGUGCUAUUGGAUUGCAUACAAGCAUUACUUCAGGCAGUGUGUGGGAUGACUGAUGCAUGAAGGGCUUUAUACGGACAAGCUAAUGGGGCAGAGCUAUUCCUUCUGCAUAUGGGAGCUAUUCUUUCGCUUCAUCAUCCCUUCUGCCAGAACGGUUUGGUAAACUCUUUUUUUGUUCUCGGUCAAGAAAAUGGUAGACUUCAUUUUUUGGCUAGACAUAUUAAGUCUCUUAAAAUUUUGUUGCAUGCCUAUCAUUAUACUAGGCUUCUAAUUUCUCACUGUAUGCGGCUCAGAAAUUACUUAUUUGUGCUACUAGCCUACUACAUGCCACAUGCAUUUGGAGCCACAGAAAAGUUUUCUCUAAACGUGUUUCCUUACACCUGAACUUAUCUAUGCACUUGGGCUUCAAAUGAUUUGAAAGGUGGAAACCCACAAGCAGCUAAAAUGACUCUCAAGAUUGUAAUGGUUCUUGUAGUUGCAGAGAUGGUUAUCAUAGGCAUGAUUCUCUUCUUUUGCCGCAAUGUUUUGGGCUAUGCCUUCAGCAGAGAGAAGGAAGUUUUGGAUCAUGAUUUGUCUCUCUAUAAUCAUGGAUGGCUUACUAGCAGUACUUUCAGGGGAUUGCUAGAGGAAGUGGCAGGUAGCAUAUAGGAGCCUAUGUCAAUUUUGGGGCAUGUUAUCUGGUUGGGGUUCGAUUAAUCAUCAUUUCGGCCUUUAUUGUACACUGAAGAGGGAAAGGCCUGUAGAGUGGACUAUUGACAUUGUGCAUUGUACAAGCAUUUCUAUUUCUACUUGCUCUUAAAACAAGUUUCACAAAUUGGCAAAAAAAAAUUCGUUAUUGCCAAGAAAAAAAAUCUCCCUCUCUUUAUAACUGGUUUUUCUCACACCAAAAACUACAAUUCAUGUUCAACUUGAUCAUCUAAUACGAAA